rnacentral:lncRNA from 1 species
GUUAUGGAGUUCAGGCACUGCCCCUGCUGAUGUAAAGUGGGCUGCUUCAGGUUUAGGUGCAGCCGCACAUAAAAAGGAGCAGCAGGUAUCCACUGCAUCUGCAGAUCAGCUCUCCAGCACACAAUUACAUCUGCUUUUUCAAAAUGUACGGAAACAACCAAGGAAACCCAUAUCCCUCAGGGUACCCAAACCAACCUCCGCAGAUGCCGGGUGGUUACCCACAGUAUCCUCCAGGCGCUGCACAUCCACCAACCUGUCCUCCUCAGCCCCAUGGCCCACAAGGAGGCCUCCAUGGACAUGGACCUGGGCCCGGUCAAUGCCAUGGACAAGGACAAGGGCAAUGCCAUGGACAGGGGCAUGGACAGUGCCAUGGACAGGGGCAUGGACAGUGCCAUGGACAGGGACACAAGGACAAGCACAAGGACAAGCACAAGGACAAGCACAAGCAUAAGGAUGGUCAUAAGCAUGGCCAUUGUCACAAGAAAGGGUCCUCGAGCAGCUCCAGUAGCAGUGACUCUGACUAGAGAAAAUUCUUGGGUGACAUGGACUCAUCUGGGACCAGGAAACCUUUUUCACUGCUCAGCGUUUCUCACAGCUUUAUAGUACAAUUCUAUCACGCAAACAGUCCUUAGCAAUCUAGCAGAAAAUUGUGGAUAAACACAACACUGAUAUGACCAAUCGAGAAUGUUUUAACAUGUGGUGUAUUAACAUUGGUGUACUCCAUAUUGUUGUAUGACUGUGUAUAUGAGAAAACAAUUCAAAAUAAAAAGUGCUUCCAAUGCA